UACGGAGGUGCGAGCGUUGUCCGGAAUCACUGGGCGUAAAGGCGCGUAGGUGGCCUGUGGAAGUCUGCGGUGAAAGCCCGGCGCUCAACGCCGGGUCUGCCGUGGAUACUCUCGGGCUUGAGCUUACUAGAGGCAGAUGGAAUUCCGGGUGUAGCGGUGGAAUGCGUAGAGAUCCGGAAGAACACCGGUGGCGAAGGCGGUCUGCUGGGGUAAUGCUGACACUGAGGCGCGA
rnacentral:rRNA from 1 species